ensembl:lncRNA
GUACACAAAUACAUAAGCCACCUGACACCUUGAGACACCCAGCGUCUGGAUGAAGAUAGCGACUAGGUCACCCAGGCUUGGCUUUCCCACGCAAUCUGUGCUCGUGGUUUUGGCAGGUCCUCCCAAUCCUCCUCCUCCCCUCCCCACCCAGACCCCCUCUUUGCCAGGGCUAUGUGUGCUGAUCUGAAGUGCCUACCAUCCUCCAUCAUCUCCAAUUGAAGAUUACACACCUGUCUGGCAUGUGUGACCAGCCAGGGACUGAGGCAGAGCCGCGCGGAUGGCAGCCAGCUCUGCUCCACUGUCCCAGACCACUCUGAUGUCAGCUGGCUGUGAAAGGGAAAGGGCCUUGUACUGACCAGAGACUGUGAUAAAGCUUGAACUGGGAUGUGACCAGAGCUCUGGACCAACGCCACGCCGCCCUUGUCUGUGCAAGCCGCAACGCCAAGAUUCUCCAGCCCUGGAGAGACCGAGUCUGCAACGAAAAGGAGGAACAUCUGGGUUUGUGAGAAAUAGAAACUUUUGGAACUGGUCUGCACAUUUCCUGUGUGAGGAGAUCGAACUUUUCCUCCCCUUUUUUAUGUCUUUUCCAUCGCUCUGCUGGGUUCUGCUGCUCUGCUUCAAGGUAGGACGUGAGAAGCAAAUGCAAACAGGCACGAUUUUAGUGUCUUUUGUUCAGAUCCUAACUCUUUAGCUGUCUUUCAGGCUCUGUUUGUGUUUUGCUAAUGGUUCUUUGUGGUUUUCUUCAGCAGGGGGGGCAGUUGAGGGUAAACCUCUGCUGUUUGAGGAGGGCUGAACUGUUGUUAGUCUGCACACACUGAAGGAACUACAGGCCAACUGUGGAUUCAGCUGCAGGUAUGUUAUUCUUCUCCAUCCUUGGUUAUGGGUUUUUUUAGACUGAUAAAACAUUGUAAAACAGGAUUAAAUUCGAAUGCAAACCUUUUUCCCACUGGUUUUGAACAAGUUUAUGAGUUCCCAAUCUCUAAAAGCAUUCUAAUAAAGUUCUACCAAGAGGUUCA